UUGCCCAAUGUGAAACACACUACGUUCCAUUGAGAUGCUCGUGGCCAGUGGCGCAGGCAUUCACAAACAGACAGGCCAGAGGUCAGCUGUCCCAGAAGAGGAAUCUUGCUGUAGAGGAAGAUAAAUCCUCUUCACAGGGACCCCAUAACUCAGGCACUCAGGCUCCAGUCACAGACUCAUCUACUUCAUCCAUUUCCUGGUCAAACACUUGGAUUUCAAGAUGUAGACUGCUUUGCCAAAUCGUGUUAAACCACAAAAACAUCCAAGUGCUGUCUGUGUCACUACCAUUCAUGUUUUCAAGUCAUCAUUCUCAGUCACUGAAUCUGUUCUACUGAUCCUAAAUGGUCUAUGUCCUGCUCAGAUGCUCCAAAGCUACUGUGACGACUGCAACACGCAUGCACACAUUCAGGUCAUGUGUGUGUUCUGCCUUUGUACCAACAAUGAUGCCUGCGGACACUCAUGGAACUCCCCUACCUUGGAAUUCUCAGUCACAAGAACAUCAGUAGUAUAGGAGAUGUCGUGGUUCAAUAGCCACACCAACCACACAACCUACAAAACCAUUUGCUUCAGUGACAGGGCCACAUUACAUUGAUCCAGAUCUUGCAUCAGUGGUGCUUGCUCAACAAAUGUGAACUGCUCUGGAAACACUUCUCUAGACCACAAGAACAUUCAACUGGUAUUUGUGUCACUGCCACAAGUUUGACAUAAGAUAAUUCCCACCCUCAAUAAUCAUGCAUUUAAAUGUAUUUUUCUUUACCUACAUGGGGCUAUUCCAACCAACAAGUAUUAGUCUUGUUUUAGUACUACUUUGACUUUUGCUUUAUUUUUAUUAAACAGACUCAGAACCAUUCAGUAGACUACUUCAUUAUUUUAUCUACAAACAGCAUCUUUCACUCACUGUUCUUCAAAACAAUUCGAAAUGAGACAUGAGGUACAUCAUUUGUACCAUUUGUUUUGUAUUUUAAUAUCUUCAGUAUGUUUUACAUUGUUUUCAUUGUUACCUUGAAGGAAAAAAUCACAAUGUGGGCUUAGCCUUUAUGAAGCCUGAUGUAUGUUUCCCAAACGUUUUUUAUUUGCUUGAUGUGUAUUUUUUACCAGAAAUAAAGAAUCAUGGUUUCACACCCCUUA